AUGAACGUCUGGCAGAGCAAAGCUGAUGACUACUCAAUAGUUCAGUGUGCCAUGCUUUACGGCUUAGAACCGGGUCUUCAACGACGUUUUGAACGUCAUGGAGCAUAUGAGAUGUUCCAGGAGUUGAAGUUAAUAUUUCAAGCAAAUGCCCGGAUUGAGAGAUAUGAAGUCUCCAAUAAGUUCUUUAGUGGCAAGAUGGAGGAGAAUAGUUCUGUCAGUGAGCAUAUACUCAAAAUGUCUGGGUAUAAUAAUCACUUGAUUCAGCUGGGAGUUAAUCUUCCGGAUGAUAGCGUCAUUGACAGAAUUCUCCAAUCACUGCCACCAAGCUACAAGAGCUUCGUGAUGAACUAUAAUAUGCAAGGGAUGGAAAAGACUAUUCCCGAGCUCUUCGCAAUGCUAAAGGCUGCGGAGGUAGAAAUCAAAAAGGAGCAUCAAGUAUUGAUGGUUAACAAAACCACCAGUUUCAAGAAAAAGGGCAAAGGGAAGAAGAAGGGGAACUUCAAGAAGAACGGCAAACAAGUUGCUGCUCAGGAGAAGAAACCCUAG
rnacentral:rRNA from 1 species